UUGCUACCAACUGUGCUGCACAUAAGUUCACUGGUUAUCAGCUGCCUUUCAUGUUAAAAGUAGCCAGAGUGAGUAAACAGGCGAAUGCUGCAGUUUUCUGGCGACUUUAGAAAGUACCUGGUGGAGCUAAACUGUUAGCCUUCAUUAGCUCUAGUUGUUAUCAACUGCCUGAAAGUUCAUCUCAAUCUGCUCCCAGAAGUAAGAGCCCUGCAUGUUCCGACCGAGAGACACCAUACCAUUGUCUUCGGCCGUGAUGCACUGACAUCGGUCAGGUUUUUUUGUAUGCUGAAUUGUUCCUGAGGUGGAUUCCUCCGGUGAAAUAGAUGGCGAGCCUUCCCACCUGGACU